rnacentral:rRNA from 1 species
CGUAGGUGGCAAGCGUUGUCCGGAUUUAUUGGGUUUAAAAGGGUGCGUAGGCGGCCCUGUAAGUCAGUGCUGAAAUAUCCCAGCUUAACUGGGAGGGUGGCAUUGAUACUGCGGGGCUAGAGUACAGAUGAGGUAGGCGGAAUUGACGGUGUAGCGGUGAAAUGCUUAGAUAUCGUCAAGAACACCUAUAGCGAAGGCAGCUUACUAGGCUGUAACUGACGCUGAGGCACGAAAGUGUGGGGAUCAAACAGGAUUAGAUACCCUGGUAGUCCACACUGUAAACGUUGAUUACUCGCUGUGUGCGAUAUACAGUACGCGGCCAAGCGAAAGCGCUAAGUAAUCCACCUGGGGAGUACGCCGGCAACGGUG